GAUGAACGCUAGCGGGAGGCCUAACACAUGCAAGCCGAGCGGUAUUUGUUCUUCGGAACAGAGAGAGCGGCGCACGGGUGCGGAACACGUGUGCAACCUGCCUUUAUCUGGGGGAUAGCCUUUCGAAAGGAAGAUUAAUACCCCAUAAUAUAUUGAGUGGCAUCACUUGAUAUUGAAAACUCCGGUGGAUAGAGAUGGGCACGCGCAAGAUUAGAUAGUUGGUGAGGUAACGGCUCACCAAGUCAAUGAUCUUUAGGGGGCCUGAGAGGGUGAUCCCCCACACUGGUACUGAGACACGGACCAGACUCCUACGGGAGGCAGCAGUGAGGAAUAUUGGACAAUCGGUUAGCGCCUGAUCCAGCCAUCCCGCGUGAAGGACGACGGCCCUAUGGGUUGUAAACUUCUUUUGUAUAGGGAUAAACCUACUCUCGUGAGAGUAGCUGAAGGUACUAUACGAAUAAGCACCGGCUAACUCCGUG
rnacentral:rRNA from 1 species